CCGUGAGUUUAUUGUGACGCAUUUUUGUCUGAACACUGCUGAAGAAUAAAAAAACAAUUUUACUAGUUUUUGUACUAAGUAUAGAAAUAAUGGCCAUUCAUGCAGGUGUUUGGAACCUAAAUAUUUGCACCUGAAAAUAAUAGAAACCAUAUUUCCUUAAUAAAAUUUAAGGAAAAUAUAUUUUAACAUAACGAUUAAAUCUUAUUUUAAUGCAGACCUAAUAUCAGAUUCAUCAGUGAGUAAGAAUCCCGAUUCUACGCAAAGAAAUUGAAUUGAUUCUGUUUUUUUCAAGAGAUGAAAUUGCUUCUUGUGGCUAUGAAGGCAGGUCCAUUAAUGAACAUAAGAGGAAGGACCAUGGAAAGGAGUAUAUCUCUUACAUAUUCACAGAAGAUUAUGCCAAGCAGGAAUACUGCGUAUAAGACCUAAAUUUCAUUAGAAGAACCUGACUGAGGAAGUGAAAAGGAAAGGAUGGGAAAUAGGAAAACAUUUGAAAAUAAGGCUGUUGACAGGCUGGAGAGGAAGGAGGAGAUUGAAAAUUUAAAUUGUGCUACCUGAAACAAUGUAUUUUCAUGGAUACAAAUAUGUCUUUGCCUAUUUAAAAAAGUACUAGUUACUAUGAGGUAGGAUUUAUCCAUGUCAGUUAUGGCACAAUAUGCUUUAGGAAUUUAAUUCCUGGGGACUUAAAUUGAAAGUUAGUGGUAUGGUUAUUUAAAAACUCAUUAAAAACAAUUUAAAAAGAGAUAAUUUCUCACUAUAAUUGUGUACUUUUCUCCAUUUCCAUUGCUUAUAUAGAUACGUAUUACUUCUUCUUACCAUCUUUUAAAUGAUGUUUAGUUACUUAUAAUAGUUUUUCUUUAUGUGAGCA
rnacentral:lncRNA from 1 species